GCUCGAGCAGGAUCAGACUGAGUUUUGCUGGAAUCGUGACUUUCAGAUUGAUCUUGUUUACCCUGACCCCACAUGUUCUCAUUCACCUUCUCGGCUGACUGUUCAUCCUGGCCAUCCAAGUGUUUUCCUUGGUCGGCAAAAGUUGAAGUUGCCAUUCCUGAUGGACCUGGUGCAGUGCAUGACGCAACCAACUGAAGCACUGCAGGAGAAGGUGACAACUGGGUAGCCAUUUUCUUCUCACCAGCUGUAUUUGUUGAUGAAGAUAAUUGAUUCAUCAUGUCGAGGCUCAAAGGUGGAGUUCUGCUGUGGGGUUCAACAAAAGGAUGUCCUGUAGUAGAAGCUACUGAUACUGGAACCUGAGGAAAUGGCAACUCUUGCAAAGCAGAAGUUGAAGCAACAUUCUCACACAGGAAGCUGCUCUGGACAUCAUCGAGGGUUCCUGCAACAUCCUGCUUGCAUUGUUUCACUUUACGAGAUCUUUGUUUCUUCUUUCUCUUUAAGCUUCGCCACGGAUCCUUUGGUCGGGAUGGAGGUGGGCCUGGGACAAUAAAUGGAGGAAUCGCAGAGUUCUUGUCCCCAUAUAACAGGCGAACUGAUUGUGCUACGGCAGAGACAGUUGGCGGUAGGUCAUGCUCAGUGGAUUUUGCUGGAGCAUUCACUGCUUCUCGAAGCCAGUGAGGCAGACUACUCCUUGAAGAAUUGUAUUCCUCAACCACUUCUUUACCCUUUGAAUCGCAAGUGCUCUGAACUUUGUUAAAAUCAGAGCACAACUUUGACCCAGAAGAUUCACCCGGUCCUAUGUUAUGCAAAUCAGGCAGAAUGUUUAAUGGUUUCUCCAUAAAGCUUGGCAAUUUCCCAGAUCUAUCAGCACCAACUUCAUGCUCCGUUCCUUCCAAAU
rnacentral:lncRNA from 1 species